UGGGGUUUGCUGGCAAAGCAGCUGCUGGGCGGCGGACCGGGCGGCUUGCACCAUGAAGACAGCAGGAGCCCUGGUGCUCCUUGCCAUCGCGCUCCUCUGCUUCUCCUCGGAGGUCGCAGCUCAGCCCGGCAGGAGGUGUGACGGCGACGACACAGCGUGCCCGGUGGUCUACGAUCCUGUCUGUGGCACGGAUGGCAAAACAUAUCCCAACGACUGCUACCUUCAGGCAGCCAAGGUGAAGGUCCAGGUGAACUACCGGGGGCCUUGUCGCUAGCGGGGCGAGGUGGAGAGGUGAUGCCCUUCCACUCCCUGGCACGUCCCCGCCGGUGAGGACAACGUGCAACCUCAUCUGCACGAAUGCAUCCGUGCUCCCGGGCCCAGGGGUCCAAUAGACCGCACGCCCCCCACUGCUGCCCCCCACCCCGCCUUCCCUGCGCAUCCCGGGGCCCGCUGGGGUGUCUUCGGAGGCCUCCUCUUGCUGUGCUUGCUCCAUAAACUGCCUGCAGCAGAAUCCCGCGUCUUUGUGAUCUGUGAAGAAGUCGAGUGCCCUGCGUUCCCGAUCCGAGCAGCACAAGUGUCAGGGUAGAGGUGUCCGGGUGCAGGACUCCUGCAGCCGCGCUCAUGGCUGCGCUGCGUCCCGUCUGGCCCUGACGUCUUCCCAAGCUGCAAACUAGAGCAGCCUCCCACGCCGAGGCUGCAGGACCGGCUGCCUCUGUUAGCCCGUGGCAUCCCCGGCCGGUCGGUGGCAUGCAUGUGAUGGGCCUCAGAGGGAGCUCGUGCCCCGGGGUGGGGUGUGGGGUGCCCCUGCCUUGCUUUGGCAGCUCAAAGCCUGCCCCAGCAGCACGCGGGGAGGCCCUGGAGAAGGCAACCGGCAUGCCCGGCACCACAGCACGAGUCCUCUCGGCGGGGCGGUACCGGAAGACACGAUGCAAGAGGGACGGUGGAAGGACUCGGUGACUGAGCCAUGUCAUGGAAGGGGAUUUACCCACGCGGGAAAGCUGGGGCUGCUGAGAAACCAGAAGCGCGAUGGAUUACGUGUGCGGCCAGACGUCCCCAGGACAGGCCGGCGUGGCCGCCAGGAGCUGGGGUGCGAGUCUUUGCAGCCCUCAGGUCCCGGCGUGCGACACUCCUCUCCACUACGCCCAUCUGCACUGACUCAAGUUCCUUCCAUCAGGGGCUCCAUUUCUCCCGUGCCCCGGGCUGAAGGUGAAGCCUGGCGCUCUCCUCCUCCCGGCCCUCGCAAAGGGCUAAACAGAGCAGAUACGUCCUGGGGCUGAGCCAAGGAGGCAACCCUGACCAAUGCCUGACCUCCUCACAUCAUGUGUUCAGAUCCGGGCCAGGGGAGCGGUCCUGCCAGGAGAGACGGCUGCGCUGGCACAGGAUAGCCCCGUGCCAGGAUGGUCGGUCUGUAAUGGGAACACCCCGACCAGGACGUGACACGAGCCCACGGCCCAGGACGGGAUAAGAGAUGCAAGAUACGGGCGCAGCGAAUACGUAAUUUGUUUCCACCACUGUGCAAAAGGAGGAUUGGGAAGUACAGAAACUUUGCAGCAGCCUGCGUGGUGUCGUGCCGACCACCUUGUCACAGCACAGAUGUGUUAACCCCGGUCUGAUGUGCUUGCCAGGCCCAGAUGUGUUAGGUCCGUGCUUGUAGACAGUAAACCUGGCUCAAUCUUUACCCUAAA